UAAGGAAAAAGGCUAAAAAUGAAAAGGGUUUUAAAUGUUAAACCAAAUGACUCGAAACCUGUCCUGAGGGAGCAGCCAGUGGCGCUCAGGUAAAAACUGCUCUCAGCCCUUCGUUGAGACCCAGAGGAAGAAGUAACCCAGCAUGGAUCUGCCAGACAGUGUUUAUUUCAGCUGCUAGAGCUGAUCCUGUCUGUGUGACAAACGCAGCACAGGAAUGCUUUCAAUCCCACCAAUAUUUGUAUUGAUGUUGGUUUUACCACCUGGACAUCCCUGUCAACAAGGUGAAUAUUUUUUGCCCCCGAGCAGUUUCACGCAGGUCCCGAAAUGAGCAGCAUUCCUGGGAUGUGGAAUUGUGUCUUAUGAAGCAGCAGCUGCUACUCAGGAAUGAAAUUCCAAAGCCAAUUCCCCAGGCCCCAAAGGUUGGGGUUUGUUCUCUGGAGUAAUGCACAAACGUGGAACAGAGGGCACCAGGUGCAGAAGCUGCCUCCUCCCAACCCCAAACUGCAGCCACGCAGGAAGGAAUUUCAGAGGUUUAUAUAUAUAUUUACAUAUUUAUUUAUAGAGGUUUGUAUGGCAGUCACAGCUACAGCAGCUCACUCUCUCCCCGUCCAUCAGUUAAAAAUCCUGGCUGUGCUAUCACCUUGCUGCUGAUGAAUAUAUUUCCCUGUGCUUCAGUAGUUUCCAGAGCAAACAUCUUGUUUAGCAUGGCAGUAGGGCACCCAGAAACCUCCUGAAAUGUGGUUUUCAUUUCAAAAUGCCCUGUGUUGCUACAGGAGCUAUCAGUUAACCCAGGAACAUGUCUAAGUACCCCAUUUAUCUUCUGUUUUAUGAGAUGGGAUUGAGAAACUGCUCUCUGGAAAUGCCCAUGCAAACUUCUUCAUACAGUAAUUAAAGUAUUUGUGUAAUGGGAUAAAACCCUCACAGAGACCAAGCUGAUCCAGCCCAGUAUCCUGUUUCCAAAAAGCAUGGGAAGCUCAGCCUUUUCACUGGAUGUUCUCCCAGAUUUCAAUUAUCCAUGAUUUAAGGACUUGGAAGAUGAGGGUGACUCCAAACCAUUUCAUUUAGCAGAUGUGGGAAGACCUACACCUCAGGAACAGAAUCCCUUUUAGAUCCCUCUUAAUAUUUUAGACUUCAUAGUGUCCUACUUUAGGGAGUCUUUACUUUGUAUUUGUUACAUAAUGGUUAUUUCUAGAUAGAAGGGGAGCUACGACACUGGCACAAAGACAUUUAUUUCCAUGUUCCAGUGCAAUACUGACACCUCAUUAAAAGACAGAGCACAGCAAUGACAUGAAUCAGUCCCCCAAAGACCAUCUCUCAUCUUGUAACCAGUCUUUCUAACCCAAAACAGAAUCAAAGCAACUAUUUAAUAAAUAGACAUAAGAAUAAAGCUGGAAACUGAAAACCACAGGGUUUAUCACCCGCGAUUCAUUCCAGCAGGAGACUUUGCUUGUGUUAGAUCCUUAGUGCUUUCAGAACCCCUCAAAUUGUUAGGAACAGAAUAUAAAAGAUAAAUUGACAUUCAGUUAAAGAGGAACACAUUCAUUUCCAAACUGAGCCUCUGGUCAUUUCAUGAUACAGCACAGGAGCUACUUUAUUCUAAGAGAUUUUAAGGAAAGUGAAGUCAAGACCUACACUGCACCUUAAGCAGUGUAAUCCAAGUAAUACCAAAGUAGAAUUCCUCACAUUUAUUGUUCACUGCUGAGGUUGGAUGAUUCAUCACAUUUAAAUUCUUUCACAUGAACUUCCUAACUUCCUUCUUUUAUCUGAUAUCAUCAUAUCUGAAAAGCAUUCAUUUUUGUCCAAAAAAGAAACUGAAUUAUGCUGUGUGGUACCUAACAUGCAAUAAAACAUGCAGAAAACAUGAAGUAAAAAAAAAAAAAAAGGAACAGUCAAUCAAACCAAGAAGAUGAAGCAUUUUUACUACAGAAAAAUGGCAUCUCUAACAAUAUAUUUGUUUCAUGUUUCCUAUUUUUACUUUCUCCCCCUCACCAUCUGCCUCUGUUCUGCUUUUUUCUUUCAAAAAGCAUCCACCUCAUUUCGCUUCACUCACCUCAUCACAGGAUUCAGGCUGAAAUAAAACACAAUCCCCAGUGCCAAAGCCAAAAAAGCACUACCUCUUCAUAAAAGACCUUCCAAAAAUAACUCUCCUUUUUCUUACAGUAGCUGUAGAUCUUUAAGAGAAGCAGUCCAUCUCGAUUCAGUGCUUUGCUGCAAACCCUCUAGGCAAAGGAACUUGAGCUUUUUAGCCCCUGGUAGCUCUGGGUUGUACCUGUUCUUUCAGUCCUGUUUUUUUUUUGGCAAAUCUUCCCUUGUUCUUUUGGUAGCCAGCAGUGAAUCCCACAAGAGUGAGAUCCCGUAGUGUGGAGAAAGAAGAUGAGUUACAGAAUGUGUAGUUCUUGAGCAAGAACUACUCCUUUCAUCAUGGAAGCACCUCAGUUCUGCCCAGGGGGAUUUGCUGUUCUGUGGAGCAGAGUCCCACUGCUUUGCUUGAGACACCCUACAUGAAAAUAAAACCAUUUUGGGGAGACAAUCCUCAGAAAGAAAUGGUGAGAAAUAGAGACUGUCCAUCUUUGACAUGUGUUCCAUGCAGUGGCCAGGAGAGCCUGGCAGUGCCAGAACCUGCACUGCGCUGUGUGCAGAGGAAGUGAAGGAUAAUGAGGAAAAAAUGGAAUAUAAAAAGGUACCAACUUGUGGCAGCACCAUAAUCUGAGUGUGGAGGCAAGUCCCUGCAGGGCCAGAAAGGUCAGAACAAACGCUCUCAUUUGUGAGUCAAUCCUCUGCAGCAGCCUUAGUGAAUUUGUUACUGCAGUCAGUGCAUGGACUAAGGAAAACUUCUGGGCCCAGGCAGGGUAGAGCCCUGAGCCUCUGGAUGUCUGGGGGGAACCUGUUCUGUGCAGUGCAGUGAGGAGCUGAGCCAGGUCAGACACCCUCCCAAGGCACCCAGUGCCCAUCCUCCUGCCUUCCAGGCCUGCGGGACCUUGGCACGGGAGCAGCAGUAAGGAGUAAAGGACCCGCUGAUAUCCUGGCUGUGUCUCUGGGGGUCCUGGGAGCUGGUGGGGUGCCAGAGGGGGCUCCCAGAAUCACAGAAUCAUUUACACUGGAAAAGCCCCUGAGACGAUCACGUCCAACCUGUGACCAAACACCGCCUUGUCAACCAGGCCAUGGCACUGACUGCAAUGUCCAUCGGAACACGUCCAGAGAUGGUGACUCCUCCCUGGACAGCCAAUUCUGAUGUUUAAUCACUCUUUUCACGAAGAAAAUCUUCCUGAUGUGCAUCCUAAACCUCCCCGAGGUGCCGCUCCCGGCUCCUCCUGCCACAACUGACCCUGCCCUGUCAGGGGAGCGUGGUCACCCCUAAGCUUCCCCUUCCAGGCUUGGAGUGACGAGAGGGAGAAAAAAAUAUGGAACGCUUCACGAAUUUGCGUGUCAUCCUUGCGCAGGGGCCAUGCUAAUCUUCUCUGUAUCGUUCCAAUUUUAGUAUAUGUGCUGCCGAAGCGAGCACGAAUUCUCACCUCCACCCGUCGCCAUUUGUACCCACAGGAUGCGGCUUCCGCAAGGUCAGGGUGACCCGGGAGGGACAAUCCGGCGGUGCCGGUGGGAGGAGCAGGAGCCGUGCACAGCAGCCCGGCCGUACCGAGGGUCUGGCGGGCAGGAGACGGCGGAAAAGGGGGAACAGACCCCAAAUCCGGCCUAACCCGGGUUAUGCAAAUAGCGCUGCUGUAUGCAAAUGAGCGCAAAGCACUCUGGGACGGGGCGGUACCGGGGCUCCUCACGGGGCCGCUUUGUAUCGACAACCCCCGGCGGGUUUCAGAGUCGUGUUCAGCCGUGCGCAGCUGGGAAUGUCACACUUUUCUGUGGUGAAACAUCGGUGGUUUGGGUUUAUAGUAGUUAAUAUUGCUGACCUGUGGCGGUAUGCGGGUGGCUGGAGCCAUUUGUCCCCUCACGGAAUCCCAGAAUCGAUGGGGUUGGAAGGCCCGGCUGGAGAUGACAGCCCCGUGCCAAGGCAGGGUCGCCUGGAGCAGGUGACACAGGGACGUGAAUUGGAAUGGCUGCAGCGAGGGAGACUGCACCGCUGCCUGGACAGCCAUUCCACUGCUCUGCCGCCCUCAGUGCAGGGAGCCAGGCUUGUGAGGCGCUUCUAAGGCGGGGCAGGAGUAACAGUUCGCAAGUGCAGCAGAGUGGCGCAGCGGAAGCGUGCUGGGCCCAUAACCCAGAGGUCGAUGGAUCGAAACCAUCCUCUGCUAGCUGUACAGCUGGUGCGAGGGAAGGACGGACAGAGCGCUGCGCAGUGAGAUGCCUGCAGCCUUUCUUCUAGUGCCCAUAAUAAAUAGAAUUGCUUCGUGCUAACUAAAUUGAAACUGUUACUAAAGUUAUUAUUAGAAGCAAUCAAAAGAAUCAGUGUUACAAGGCAGAUGCAUCCCUUUACAGAUGUUACAUGUUAAAAUUGAGGUACAGGAUGUAGUUUAGAAGAUCAGUGAUGUCCAAAGGUGAAAACGGCCUUGAGAUGGACAAAAUUAGAACGACUUUAGGCAUUGGGCCUAAAAUUCAUUAAAUAGAAGACUAAUUAGUGGACUUAGAUAACACAACGCUUAGUACACACACAUAAACCUGUGAGGUUAUCCAGAGGACAACGAGGAAGAGGAGAAGCCUUUGCCAAAAGACCACGAAAAGAAGACUGGAGACCCCCUAACAAUAAGUGAGGCAUGUGCUGUGAAGAAAAGUGAUGUAAAGCAAAAAAAAAAAAAUCGUAAAUCGGAGGAAACUUACGAGAAACAUUAAUGAAUAUGUAUAAGCAUACAGUAUAUAAGUUUAGCUUGAAGUGCUUUGUUUUGUACGUGAGGCAGGGUGGGAAGCCCUCCCUGUACCCCGGUCGGUUUUGCUUAUGCUUUAAUCAUCCGUAAAUUUUUUUACAAAAUUGUAUUCUUUUACUAAACAGUAUUCUUUUUUACCAAAUUACUAUUCAAUUCACUAAAUUGUAUUUAUUUUAAAUUAAACUGUUAUUAAGUCAAGGGACCUAGUUAUCAAAAUUCUGAUUUAAUUUCUAACAUGCCGUUUGAAGGUCUGUAGAGUCACAGGAUGGGUUGGGUGGGAAGGAAGCCUUAAAGACCAUUUAGUCCCACCCCCUGCCAUGGUUAGGGACACACCAAGUUACUCAGAGCCCCGUCCGACCUGGCUUUGAAUGUUUCCAGGGAUGGGGCAUCUUGGGCACCCUCUGCCAGUGCCUCAGCACCCUUGUUGGAAAAGAUUUUUCUUUAUCUUUCAUAAGUAAGCUCCCUUAUAUACUGAAAUGUCACAAGGUCCCCCAGGAUCGUUCUCUGCUCCAGGCUGAGCAGCCCCAGCUCUCUCAGCCUUUCCUCAUACAAGUGCUCCUCUGAGCAUCCCUUCGUCUGACCCGCUCCAGGGGAUCCACGCCUUUAAUUAGGCAGCAAAAACUCCUUGCACACAUCUGUCGUUUUCCCCUGCCUUGCUGGAUGAAAUGAAACAUUGUGGCAAUGCCGAACACAGCAAGCAGGCUCCCAGCACCAAAUGCAGGGAAGCAAAAUAAGUCCACGAAUGUGAAAACUUGAUGUUGAAAGUCUGUAUUCGGCCUCUGGAUGGCAUGAUCUGAGGAAAAAGGCUCCGUGAAUGUAUUUAAUGCCACAGUGCUUCUCAGAGGGCGUUGUUUUCAGGGCUGUAGAACGUGAGUAAUAAACAGUGGAAUUCUUACAUGGAAUGAGUACGUGCGGAAUGCAGGGAAGAAGAACAAGGCAGGGGUUUUGUUGACAGAUCCAUAAAAAUCGUGGAAUGUUUUUUCCCUGCAUUUGGCUCAGUAGGCGCGGCUCGGGGGGUCGCAUUGUGCGGUUCCAUGGUGUAAUGGUUAGCACUCUGGACUCUGAAUCCAGCGAUCCGAGUUCAAAUCUCGGUGGAACCUGAAAGUUUUUGCCGCAACCACAUUUCUUUACUGCUCAGAACCAUGGAGAAUGGCUUAAAGGCGUUUCGCAUGGGCUGUUAGAGUGCUCUAAACAUCCCAUGCCUCGUAAAAAACGCACCUAAAGUAGAAAAGUAACCAGAGAGUUUUCCUGGUUCAUCCCCCAUUUAUUAUUUAUUGCAUCCAGGUUAGUACUUUCUGACAAAUUAUCUGAAGAAUCUCAGACAUGUCACAGCAUUAUUGUUUCCCUUUUUCUCUGUGCUUUGAAUCGCCUGUACGGAAACACAGUUCUAAAUUCUGCAUCAGCAAAGCUGGCGGCAGCUGCUGAGCUCUGCAGGGAUGAGGUUUUGGGGUGUCUCUGACAGCAGAUGUUCGUGUUUACUUUCUGCCCUCAAUAUGCCAGGGGUGACCUUAUUGUGACCUUCUAGUGGCCAAACGGGGAGCUGGAGAGGGACUUUGGACAAAGGACUGGGGUGGCAGGACAAGGGGGAAUGGCUUCACUCUGCUGGAGGGAGGAUUAGUGGGAUAUUGGGAAGGAAUUCUUCCCUUUGAGGGUGGCGCGGUCCUGGCACAGGGUGCUCAGAGAAACUCGAUGCUCCAUCACUGGCAACAUUCAAGGUCAGGCUGGGAUAGUGGAAGGUGUCCCUGCAACCCAAACCAUCCCACGAUUCUCUGAAGACACCGAAUACCGCAGAAGCUCGGGACAAACACGGAUAUUUGGGUUAAAUUGCCGCCGGUCACUCCGGACACAAACGCAGGGCCGGCAGCGAGGCCCCGCGGCUUUGAUUGCUGUGGAUUAAUUGUGGGGGCUGGCGGAGGCCAGAGGCACCGCCCGGUUCUAUGGUGUAAUGGUCAGCACUCUGGACUUUGAAUCCAGCGAUCCGAGUUCAAAUCUCGGUAGAACCUGCCCCAGGUUUGUGUUUUUGUGCCCCCCGGCUCAGGGACAGACCGGACCGCGAUGAAGAUCAGCUCAGCAACGCAGGCUGUCCUCGACCUUCAUGUGCCACGCUCCUCCCAAUUUCCUUCAACGCAAUCAAUUUGACCAAAGGCUUUAUAUAAUUCUUACUGCUUUUUAAUUAGGGGUAAUUCAUUGUAAUUUCGUUGUGCUUCAUUGUAUUUUACUGUUGUUUUACAUUAAGUACUUUGUGGGGGGAGGAAAAAAGCCAUUUACACUGUGGAACUUUAAAAUUUGUACAUUAUUUUCCAGAUGCACCCAACUGCUCACUUGAAAAAUAAGGGCAGAAAUGCAAUGUUUUUGGAUAAACUCUGCACAAUUUAAAUGGAUAUUCCCUCUGCUUCAUUGACACAAACCUCCAGUAGUUAUUUUUCGUUUCCAGAGCAGCUAAGGACAUCUUAAUACCUUGGCUCCCCCUCCUCCAAACCUGUCCUACGAGUCACUUGUUUACACAGCAACAGGAACAAGCCUGCUCUGUUUAACAACUCCUCCUCCUCCUCUGGCCAGGUAACCCUGCCUUGCUGGCCCUUGAACAAAAACACAGAAUUCCUUCAAAUCAAGUUAUGAUUCAGUAGAAAUCCAGGUCCCAACUGCUCAGGAGAACAUAUGGAAAUGUUUGCUGAAUUCAUUAAAUUUUCACACAGCCUAGUGGUGAAAGAAAUUCCUUGUCUAUGUCAGGGCUGAUUUUCAUCCUUUCCUCAACUGUUGGAUCAGGUCACACACGAACAAAGACCUUUUCCAGUGUUUUAACUUACUCCAUGCAGUAACUUUAGCACAAGCAGCCACUCUCACAGGCUGGCUUCAGGCACCAACAUCCUUCUCCCAGGCACAAGAGCUUUACAGCCACAGGGGCCUGUCUGCCUUGCAAGGAAUCAAUAUACUGACAAUUCUAGAGAGCAAAUCACCAUUUCCAACAGCAAUCUGGCAACUUCCCCCUUUCAUUUAGCAGAGUUUCAGCUGCAGCUGAAAAGUCCAACAGAUGUGCCCCAGACAAACCCCCUGGGUAAAACCAGGUCUACUUAAAGAAACUUAUACAUGGAAUGAGACAGAAUCAGCACAGAAUUGAGCACUGAGAUUUAUUCACAAUUCAUGGUCAUGCUGCACUUGAAAACAAAGCACCAAAAUUUGGGUAACUGAACAUCAUCCAGGUAUAAUCCAGCUGAGAGUGCUGCAUUUGGGUAUCUGCUUUACUCUGGGGGACAGCACAGCCAGGGCUGCUCGGGUCCUUGGCCACAGGGGACACACACAGGUGCUGUGGCUGAGGGAAUCCUCCUGAACCAGGCAAAGGGACUUCAAAACGUGCUGGAACAAUCUCAGAGCAAAGAACCAUAACCCCAAGAAUCCAGUAUCUCAUGCUCAAGUCAAGAACAUCCCAGGACAAUUUUAUUAAUUAAUUUACUAUGUCCAAUUCCUUUCCCACAAUCCCUCCAGUUUAUAAUUUUCUAAAAAUCCUCUUGUCUCAGCACAACAUUCAAGGCAGAGGUAAAGCACUAUGGCUGUGGCCACGUCAGGAGCUUUUCCUGUUGCUGAAAAGACAGUAGCAGUAGAAAUUAUUAGGGAAUCAGGGAAUUAAAUGGUACUGUAAUUUCACAAGUGUGGCUACAAACUACACGUAUUGUCAAUGUUAAUGGACUUUCCAACUGCAGAUUUAAAAGCCAGAAUCAAACCUUAGGCAAGUAUUUCACUAUAUAUGAAGCUGCAACAAGGUUUUCUGAUAUAGGUUAAAAAUUCAGUGAAAGAAGGGGGAAAGAUUAAUGGGAUGGAUCUUUCCUUUUAAACUGGCACUUUAAAGAAAAGGCCUUUUAAAAAUGAAAAUAUUUUACUCCAAAAAAAGUAUUAUAAAACAAAAGCUGACAAAAAAAAAAAAAAGACAA